ensembl:lncRNA
GGGUAGGGGGAUGGGAGAUCCAUGGGGGAAGGGAGCCGAGUACUCACUCUGUUGUCACUGGCUAGAGAGAGAGAGAGAGAAAAGGAGGGAGGGAGAAAGAGUGGAGUUUUGUCCCAUAUGUGGAAAAAAAGCACAGCAUUGUACACAGGAGUCUGCUCUGCUCCAGGGACUAUUGUAGCGCUCUCAGAUCUGAUGGAGGACGUGCAGGCAUGAAUAGGGCUGUUCUGUCGUCAGUGCGAGUUCACGCUAGUGAUGGACUACAGCUGGACGGACGCUAACCUCAGCUGCCUUUCACAAACCAGCAUUCCGUCUUACUGAGACCAGCUCCACAGAAUGCUGAGUCCUAUUGUCCCCUAUAGUAAGUACACUACAACCUUCUUUCUCUCUACCUUACCGCCAUGUUUAAAAAGCUCCACUUCACUUAGUUGGACUUUGCCUGAAUCAAUGAACCCCGACCUCUAAAAAUAAUGGGAGUGGACACCGGUCAGUGUUUUGCAAACAUAAGGAAAAACUGUAAAAAAAAGAAAAGAAAGGAAAAGACAAAGGGACUGAAAAUGUCCAAGCCUCAUUACAGAAAACCUGACCUUUCCCUUGACGUGCACCGUGGAAAUGCUAAACCUCUGGAUCCGAUCCUGCCUGAAUGUUUAAUCAACAAGCUGCAGAGGGACAUAGAGAGGUUUGAAGGCACAUGCUUUAAGCAACGAGUGUCAGUUUACCAAUGCGGCUCAGGACUGAACACCACACAUGCUGCCCAAUGCUCCCCCAUUUUUUUCCCCCUGUUCUCUCUUUUCUCCCUUCAAUGCUGACCUGAUAACUGAUGUGUCCAGUUUUGACCUCCCCCCUUGCACCCUCUCACCAGGAUUCAUUUGAGUCCAGGGCUCUGGCUCUCCAAAACAGCAUUGUGUGCCGGCCAGCAUGGGGCAGCCUCCGUUGCUUCGGCCUCAAGGGCUCUUUUUUUCCCAGCUCUAUAACUUUCCUCAAUGGAGCAUUAUCGGCAUGACAGUUAAAAGAAAGAGAGGACAAAUCCAAAAGAAUGGUUUUAUUAAAAAGUAUAACUUGUGUUGGUAAAACCUUUUUGAUUUGUAUUUUUUCAAAAAUGCAUUUUAGUCUGUAAGCCAAGACUGAAUAAAAGGGUUUGAUUAAAGCGUCCUGAGCAAAUGUUUGACAGGAACCACGACACCUUGUUUUCUUUUCAAAUGUUGCUUUGUAAAUGUCACCCUUGAAAUAGCAAAUGUUAUUAUUUUCCCACGUAUAAGAUGAGUGAUUUUUCAUAAGGUCUGAAGUGGUUGACCUUAUGUGUCGUUAUGAAAUCUGUCCUUUCUCAAGUGGCUUUUUACGAUGUUGAUGGAAUACCCGUUCUCCCAGAAAAUGUUUUUUCCUCUCUGUUUAUGACUUUGAAUCCAGCUGCUCAACUGCAAAACAUGAGCAUGCAAACAUAACAUGCAUACUCAUUUUGCUUCCCAUCAAGGCCUGUUUGUGUGGUUGUUCCAUCAGCUCCCUGCACCCUGCUAGUCCACACUGACUGAACACAUACACACACUCCUGGGAAGCUUCUAGUGUGCUACGUACUUGCCUUUUGUGUCCAAUUCUCUUUCGCAUUCGGUGCGCACAAUGAUGGUUUUCAUCGGCUUCACAGCUCUUUGUGCUCAGAGCAUUUCUGUUCUGCAGAGUCUCUCCAGCAGUGAGAUCGUUUCAGAACAGCCUGCUAGUGUGCGUGCAUGUAGACGGAGGGAACAUAUGAGCGUCGAACAGCAGUGUCAUGUAGUCUUGUUGUUUACUCUCGGACCAGUGACACACAAACACACCUAUGUGCUCGCCUGCAACACUGCAGCUCAGUGUCUUUUGCUUAAAGUCUGUAGUCAUGAUUCUGCUGAGUAAAAACUACAAUUGCGUGGGACUUUGGAUGUGCCGGGCAUGCGAAGACUCUCACCUUCAUGUUGAAAUUCCCUUUGUGGGAAUGUCGCGCAUUCCAACUUUCCGAUGCUAUUUCUGACUCCUGCUUUAGGCAUUUCUGCCCCAUUGUGCAGAUUUGCACACAGGGACAAAUAGUUAGGACAGGUACCUCCACAAAGAUACUUCCCUCUCUGACAUGACGACUGCCCCACGAAUCCACCCCAUAACUUGGUUGCAACAUUAAGCCAGUGCAUGCGUCCCGCUCCCGCCUGCCGUCCCCGGCCUUUGGCUACUCGUCCCUCGCCAGUCCGGAGGACUUCAAGCUGGGGUAAGCAGCCACGGCCGAACCUGAGAAGAAACCCGAGAGAGAUUCCAGGGGCCAUGGAUACUCCUGGUGGGAUUUGGUGCAAAGAAUCUGUAAUCUGCACUUCAAACACACUCUUAAAUCAGUCCCAGGCCGCCAACCCAAGAGUGCCCUAACUCUUGUUGCUGGGGCCCCUGCUGGUGUAGCGAUACCUUUUCUUUUAAAACAACAUUCUCUCUCACACACACACACACACACACACACACACACACACAAAGAAACUACACACCGGAGUCCAAAUCUUGCCGUUUUUAUAGCUCUCCUCUGACUGACCCCUCUCCUUUCUCCCACUGGCUCUGUUUUUAUGUUUCGUACAAGUGUCUUUGUGAAUGACUCUGCCAAGUCAUGGAGUAGUUUGUAUAGACGAAGAAAGAAGUAGAACUCAUCCUGAAGGAGCAGGUUGGAGGGCUGCGUCAGUGUCUAUUCCUUUUGUCGGCCGAGUGAUGUGAGUGCUGCAGUGGAGGGGCCUGUGAGGCCCUUCAGUAAACACACAGCCAGCCAAAGUGUGUGUGUGUGUGUGUGUG